GAUGAACGCUGGCGGCGUGCCUAAUACAUGCAAGUCGAGCGAACGGACGAGAAGCUUGCUUCUCUGAUGUUAGCGGCGGACGUGUGAGUAACACGUGGAUAACCUACCUAUAAGACUGGGAUAACUUCGGGAAACCGGAGCUAAUACCGGAUAAUAUUUUGAACCGCAUGGUUCAAUAGUGAAAGACGGUCUUGCUGUCACUUAUAGAUGGAUCCGCGCUGCAUUAGCUAGUUGGUAAGGUAACGGCUUACCAAGGCAACGAUGCGUAGCCGACCUGAGAGGGUGAUCGGCCACACUGGAACUGAGACACGGUCCAGACUCCUACGGGAGGCAGCAGUAGGGAAUCUUCCGCAAUGGGCGAAAGCCUGACGGAGCAACGCCGCGUGAGUGAUGAAGGUCUUCGGAUCGUAAAACUCUGUUAUUAGGGAAGAACAUAUGUGUAAGUAACUGUGCACAUCUUGACGGUACCUAAUCAGAAAGCCACGGCUAACUACGUG
rnacentral:rRNA from 1 species